CACAAAAUUAUAGGACUGACAAUAACAACUAACAAAAAAGAAUUUAAUUAAUGUGAUUUAGCUUAAUCAACUUACAAAAAGAAAAAACAACACAAAUAGAAAAAUAUGUUUAUCUUUAUUUUUUCUUCAACACAUCAGCUGCCUGCAAGGGUGAACCAUAUCCAGAUGAUAUUAUUUUUUGUGUCAAUCAAACAGAAAGAGAAUGAAGACAUUAACAACUUGAUUGAAACAUCAGGGGACGAUCAAGACCAAUUUUGGUAUCUGUAUGCUGAUUUGGUAGAUACAGGAUUGGAAUUUGGCUUCUUCCUUUCUUUGUGAUAGUUUCAGUUGGAUUUUAAAUAUAGAAAUAUAAUUUCUAGAUAAUACAUACUCUUCAAGUUUCACCUAAUUAUUUGAUUGCUGUAUGUAGCAUUUACUAAACACUAAAAUUACACACCUUGAAAAUAAAGUAAACUGACUUGG